UGCUCAUCGGGGCUGGACUCCUUGGUUCCUGGGGACGAAGACAAACCCUAUAAGUGUCAGCUGUGCCGGUCUUCGUUCCGCUACAAGGGCAACCUUGCCAGUCAUCGUACAGUGCACACAGGGGAAAAGCCUUACCACUGCUCAAUCUGCGGAGCCCGUUUUAACCGGCCAGCAAACCUGAAAACGCACAGCCGCAUCCAUUCGGGAGAGAAGCCGUAUAAGUGUGAGACGUGCGGCUCGCGCUUUGUACAGGUGGCACAUCUGCGGGCGCACGUGCUGAUCCACACCGGGGAGAAGCCCUACCCUUGCCCUACCUGCGGAACCCGCUUCCGCCACCUGCAGACCCUCAAGAGCCACGUUCGCAUCCACACCGGAGAGAAGCCUUACCACGAACCAGUGACUUCAUGAAGUUUCUCCGGAGCCACCUGCAUCCUGCUGCUCUGAAGUCACUUCCUGCCUGAGGUGUGGAGGCUGCAGGGAGAAACCAGGAAGCCACUAAUAAUAUCAAGAGGCCGGGGCGUGCAUCUGUGCUGGAGAUCUUAAUGCUGGCGACAUGCCUCCAUCACCAAGGAAGAUGGAUAAGAGUUGGGUCCCGUAAAGACCACAGGGGCUGGAGGUGGCACUGAGAAGACUGAGUUAGAACUAACGGGCCAGCCCACCCUCCCCCAGCAAGGGUAUCUUGAAUCUAUCCAGGGUCCAGUGCAUGCAUCUCUCCCACCCUUUCCCCUGUCCUGUGUGUGUGCUGGGUGCGGAGGUCACUAAUUCUGAUAUUACCUUCCUCUGGGCCUUAAAUUCCUCAUCUGUGAAAAAGUCAGUUACCAUGAUCUCUGCAGCUACCUCCAACAUUGAAAGUUUGUAGUUGUCU
rnacentral:lncRNA from 10 species